GUCUACAGCCAUACCACCCUGAACGCACCCGAACUUGUCUGGUCUCAGAAGCUAAGCAGGGUCAGGCCUGGUUAGUACUUGGAUGGGAGAAUAGUGUUUCUGGCAAUAGUAGUCA
rnacentral:rRNA from 1 species